AAAGCCUUAUUGGGCCAGAUAAGGUAGGCCAAUGUAUGUGAUUAGUUAUUAGAAUUGCAAUCGUAAUGUAGGCUAGCUAGCCUAUUCUAACAAACAAUUUACCACCAAUCCAACAAUCAGAAAAUAGAUAAUAACAAAACUGAAAAAUGUAAUGGUGGUAUGAAAGAAUACAACUUUUGUGUCCUUUUUCAAAGAACGAAGAGACAAGAUAUGGAGAAGGAAAAUUAUUUGUAUGGUAUACCUAUUGUGGGGCCACCUACCCUGUUGGCCUACCAACCAGAGUUGAAUCAACCUCCUGUUCAGUUUGAAAAGUUUCUCCUGGAAUUGGAGAGGGCCUUAGCUGCCGUGGAAGGUGAACAGGAAGAUUGAUGUGGGUCCUCACCCACCCUUUAUGAGCAAACCGUAGAAGAGAGCUGCAAAGGAGUGGACAGAGCAGAGGUGAUGGUCUGAUCAAAACCAUCUCCUACAGACAGCCCAAUGAGGUUUGGACCCUCUGAGAGAAGCCUUACUUCCCUCAGAUGGAUAUCAGAGACUCCUCAGACAUCUUCAGCCUUACAGGAGGAGACAGGAAGGCAGAAGGUACACCAACCCUGUACUGUCAUUGACACCAGCUUCUCUCAUCACUCUACACCUAUCCCAUUACUGUUCAGGUCCAUGGACUGUACCAUUUUAUUAGCGACUUAUUCGUUUGGUAAUGUUUUGUAUCUUUCUAUUAAAGGC